rnacentral:rRNA from 1 species
GUAGGUGGCAAGCGUUGUCCGGAAUUAUUGGGCGUAAAGCGCGCGCAGGCGGGUCCUUUAAGUCUGAUGUGAAAGCCCACGGGCUCAACCGUGGAGGGUCAUUGGAAACUGGGGGACUUGAGUACAGAAGAGGAAAGCGGGAUUCCAAGUGUAGCGGUGAAAUGCGUAGAGAUUUGGAGGAACACCAGUGGCGAAGGCGGCUUUCUGGUCUGUAACUGACGCUGAGGCGCGAAAGCGUGGGGAGCAAACAGGAUUAGAUACCCUGGUAGUCCACGCCGUAAACGAUGAGUGCUAAGUGUUAGGGGGUUUCCGCCCCUUAGUGCUGCAGCUAACGCAUUAAGCACUCCGCCUGGGGAGUACGGCCGCAAAGGCUG